AGACCUUAACCUGCUAAAUAGCCAGGCUAGCUUUGGCUGGUCGCCGGCUUCUUAGAGGGACUAUCGGCUCAAGCCGAUGGAAGUUUGAGGCAAUAACAGGUUAACCUACACAGGCCUGUAACAGUGGGCCUCGUAAAAGAUAACUGCUAGUUCAGCGUUUUUACCUUCUUGGGGAAGUCCCCUACUGUCGGGAGAAGGCAAGUGAAUUUAUUUGCUUGUAACGCGGGCAACACCACCUGGUACAGGGAACG
rnacentral:rRNA from 1 species